rnacentral:rRNA from 1 species
AUGGCUCGUCUCAACAGCAAGGCUGUGGUGUCCGCCGUGGUCCUGGCGGCGGUGGUGCUAAUGAUGGCCGGCAGGGAGGCGACGGCACUGUCGUGCGGGCAGGUGGACUCCAAGCUCGCGCCGUGCGUGUCGUACGUGACGGGGAAGGCGCCCUCGAUCAGCAAGGAGUGCUGCUCCGGUGUGCAGGGGCUGAACGGCCUGGCCCGCAGCAGCCCGGACCGCAAGAUAGCGUGCAGGUGCCUCAAGAGCCUCGCCACCAGCAUCAAGUCCAUCAACAUGGACAAGGUCUCCGGCGUGCCCGGCAAGUGCGGCGUCAGCGUGCCCUUCCCCAUCAGCAUGUCCACCAACUGCAACAA